rnacentral:rRNA from 1 species
UUAGGAAUUUUGGGCAAUGGGCGCAAGCCUGACCCAGCAACGCCGCGUGGGUGACGAAGGCCUUCGGGUUGUAAAGCCCUUUUCUGGGGGAAGAUGAUGACGGUACCCCAGGAAGAAGCACCGGCUAACUACGUGCCAGCAGCCGCGGUAAUACGUAGGGUGCGAGCGUUGCCCGGAUUUAUUGGGCGUAAAGGGCGCGCAGGCGGCUCGGCACGUCCGUUGUGAAAUCGCCCGGGCUCAACUGGGCGGGGUCAGCGGAUACGGCCGAGCUGGAGCAAGCUAGGGGGCAAUGGAAUUCCCGGUGUAGUGGUGGAAUGCGUAGAUAUCGGGAGGAACACCAGUGGCGAAGGCGGUUGCCUGGAGCUUUGCUGACGCUGAGGCGCGAAAGCGUGGGGAGCGAUCCGGAUUAGAUACCCGGGUAGUCCACGCCGUAAACGAUGCGGACUAGGUGUCGGGGGUAUCGACCCCCUCGGCGCCGCAGCUAACGCAUUAAGUCCGCCGCCUGGGGACUACGGCCGCAAGGCUAAAAACUCAAAUGAA